GGGCUCGUCGCCCUGAGCCCCUGACCAGUUCUUCCCCGGCUCUUCCAAAACCUAACCCUCAACCCCAACCACGCCGCCGCCACCACCAACCACUCGACCGCAGCGCCGGCUUCGUCCCCAAACACAGACGCCGCCGACCGCCUAGUCGUCGCCGAGCACCCUUCUCUAACAAGGAAACCCUUCAUCGGUUCGUCCCCAUCCCCCGCGCACCCAGCGCCUGCUUUCUCUCGAGGAAAGCCGUCGUCCGCCCUCCAUCCCCACCACAAUAACGACCUCCUCCACAAGUUUCCUCCGCCGAGCAGGCCUCCUCCUACUCCUCAAGCUUUCUCCCCCGAGCAGGGCCUCCUCCUCCACGAGCAUCCUUCCCUGAGCACUAAGUUGGGGUCGCCUCCUGUUUCCCUCACCCGAGCAGCGGGCCUUCCUGUACAGCCCCCCUCCCGAGAAGCUCCACCUCCUCUACAUCCUCCCCCAGGUGCAGCGCCGCCUCCUUGCUCACCGAGAGCACUUGGCCGCUGAGAGUGACUUAUAAGUUCAUGGCAAAAGCAGCAACACGAGUACGCAACCACAAGCAAGCUGAGGAGUUACAUAUAUGCAUAUCUUAUGCUCAUUUCACCAAAGUUUGGCCAACCUUUUGGUGUCUAUUAUUUGUGUACGUUUCAUCGCUUUAGAAGUAAUAUUCAAUCCAAAGCUUUUCUUUAAUAGAGCAAUUCAGCUAGUAUGUUUGCAAGCAAAUUUAUGCCAGGACAAGUACUAGUAGUGGAGCCAAGAACAUAUUAGGGCACGAUUGUUAAUGGAGUAUUCACGCAGGUUCUUGUCAAACUUUGCUAUCAAUUUAUUGCCAUAUCCCCCGGCAUGCAAAUUCGCUCAAAGUCAUUUAAAAUCUCGGAGUUUCCAGGGAACACAUAUGGAACUGGGAUAUAUGGGUUUCUACAAGUUUUGCGCUUCAUAUUUCAACUAGUUCCAGUCAAAGCCAAUUUCAUGUUUCUGGUUACAAGAAAAAUCAGUUAACACUUAACUAGGUUUCAACAAGUUUCUUCAUACAAACAGAUUUCUGGUUAUCAGCAAAAUCAGUUAGCACUUAAGUAGAUUUCAGCUAGUUUCAUAUAGGUGUUGUUUUGCAAUAUGCUUGACCAAGGCCACCAUAGUUACUAUGAAUGUCUACAUUCAGUUAAACCUAAGAUACACCCUUUGUUCUCAGGAUUUUGUUAGCAGCUUGUUAAUAAUGCACUUGCCUCUAAAUUGUCAGUUACCUCUGAGUUGAUACAUUUUACUGUCUCGAGAUUCUUUUGGCGUCCCUGAACAGUUUCCGCUGAUCCAAAUUAUCAUCCCUCAUGUUAUGGGCCUCAAAGAGUAGCUGAAAGACUCAUUUAAGCUGCAAGUGUAUAAGUCUAGCAAAUGCAGUAAUGUGACCACAAGCCAGUUGAGGAGGUUUCUCAAGAUACACAAGUUGUUGGAGGUUUGGAAGAUCUACAAGUUGCUGGAGGUUUUGAAGGUCUGACAAGUUGCUGGAGUGAUGAUAUAUAUGUAAUAUGUCUUGUUUGUCGAACCUCCAUAUAUUGACAAGUUUUACACUGGUCAUUUUGGUGGUUGUUUCAGCAGACAAGCCAUUGUAUGCCAAUUUUGGUUGUGUGGCACGAUUUCUUUACCUUAAACAUAUGUACUUUGCAUUUUGAGGCAUAAUGUCUAUAUAUGUAUGGUUCAUGCAUGUGUUAAAAACAUAUGUUUUUGGUCUAUUUAUGUUAUUGCAUGAGGUCUUACAUGUAAUCUGAUUGAACAUAUGUGUAAGUUGUGUGAUC